AUCCGCUCCAACCUAGUUUUUCCUUGAGAUUCCGAUCUACCUCAGUUUUCAGCACUUGUGGCUCCUAAUUCUUUAGGUUCACUGUCUUGACUACUUGUUUAAUUUCUGAUCUUCCUAGCCUCGGACUAUAUACAGACUCUGUGGAUCUCUUGUUUGUAGAUCCCUACAUGUCUCUUAACUCCCAGCUUCUAGGACCCCCUGGAUCUUCCCUGCUCCUGCUGUGCCCAUAUUUGAUGUCUCCUGCCUCCUUCAGUCUUGGCUUGCAACUGUUUUUUUGUGAGCAUUCAUUACUCAUGGUCUUGGUGUGAUCUGGAUACAUGAGGAAGGUGGUAAGGGGACCAGGAAAGAAGAAAAGGAAGAAGAUAAGUGAAACACUUAAGCGUAAACUACUCUCUGAACAAGACCUGCACCAUUAGAAAGCACUCUUUCUGCAGCUGCCAAUGAGACAGUUUGUUGCGUAAUUUUUAAUGCACUGUAUACCCAGAUCUUUGUUUCUAAGGACAUCAAAACCAAAGCAAUUACAGCUAUUCUGAAACAGCACAUUCAAAGAAUAAAAGUCAUCUUCCUUGCUGUCUUCCACCCUCAAGAUUAUUUUAAGAUUCAAGACAGCUACUGGAGCUCCAGCAAUUUUAUCCCAUUCCAGGCUUGGGAAGGAAGAUGAAGAAAUUGCUUCUUUCUUUUGAAGAAAACAACUCAAAAGACAACUGCUGCUUACAUCUCACUGGCUAGAACUUGAUUACAUGACUGAAUACAACUGCAAGGGAACCUGGGAAAGAUUAUUGUCUCAGCUAUGCACAUUGUCCAGGGUUCUGUUUUUAAGGAAUAAUAAGUGGAUUGAUGAACACUGGAAGUCACCUAGCAGUCUUUAUCACAAAUGGU
rnacentral:lncRNA from 1 species